rnacentral:lncRNA from 1 species
UAUUUAUAUAUAUCUCAACCUUCUUUGUAAUGUUAUGGUUAUAUAAUAAUAGUAACUAAGAAUAAGAAGCACCUGAAGUACCUAUGUACAUAUUCACUCGGCGCCAUGUUUAUAAUAUUUUUUAUGGAGGUGCUUCUUAAUGUCUUUUUCUUCUUUUGCUUAAUGGAUGUGUGAGUCAGUCAGCCACAGGAAAGAAGUGGUGGUUGCUCUAUUUAUCAUGAUUAUGAGGAUGCUAGGGGUAAAGAGGCAACGGAGUUAAGUUGAAGCUAACAUCUACUACAAGAAAAAUCCCCAACAAAAAUAAUUCAAGGUAAUAUGUGUAAUCAUUUUCCUUUCCUUUUUAAUCCAAAAAGGAAAAAUUAAAGGAGAGAAGAGAAAAGAAGAAUCAAAUAAUAAAAGGAGGGAAUUGACAAAUUUUGAAUCGUAUAUAUUUGAUAAUAUUAUAUAAUAUCAAUAAUUUAGAUUAUAAAGGCUCUAAGCCACAAAGCUAAUGGCAAAUAAUGACGUCACUAUACUGCCUUAUUGCUUUAACAGUUAAUACUAUAUUUCACUUUUAGAGAUCUCUGUUUAAGUAUUUAAAUAGAAAUUGGAUCAGAGGCAGAAGGAAGCUUACAGAUAUUAUUUACUCAAAAAUAUCAGUGGACAUAAUUAUCAUUAAUUGAAUAUAAUAUUAUAAUCAAUUGUAAAUACUACUUUUCAAAUGCUCCUUGAGGCUCUGGACAAUUAUUUUUGUUAUUGGUCUUGUUAUGCAUAGUAAA